CAGCAAUAAAAAUGGUUAGCAAUAAGUAAAAGCCACAGCACUUUUCACUUCAUUCACUGCUGUGUCAUGUCAAAUUCCUAAUUCUUGUAUUCUUGCCUCAAUAUAUUUAAUAAAGGAGGGAAUAUCAAAAUAAUUGAAUUAUUCUUCAGAAGGAAAUCAAAUAUCAUCCCUUAGACUUCACUUGAUAAAGCUCCAAGACAUUUAAAAUUACCUUUUUACAGAUUAAUGUAUCUACCUGUACAUGAAUGUAUGUUCUUUCAUAUGUUUAAACGUGUAUUUGUGCUUUUCGAGGGUGUCCUUUCAUCAUCACUUUUCCAGAUGUCUCAGUUUACUCAGCUGCUCUUUACAAUUAAGUUUGUUGUUUAAGUCAGUUGGUCUGGCCACGAUGCUCUUCACAGCACAAGGAGAGACUGCCAGUACAGAAGGAUGUGAAAUAUGUAACACUCUUCUUCAACUCAUUUUCAGCUCAUGAUAUGAGACUUCACAACCUGCUAAAAUGAGCUUUCCUAAUAACUCAGGAUCUACCUGUCUAGGAAUAAACCAUCCUAACCAUGAGA